UACGUAGGGUGCGAGCGUUUGUCCGGAAUUAUUGGGCGUAAAGGGCUCGUAGGCGGUUUGUCGCGUCGGGAGUGAAAUCCACUGGCUUAACUGGUGGCUUGCUUUCGAUACGGGCAGACUGGAGGUAUGCAGGGGAGAACGGAAUUCCCGGUGUAGUGGUGAAAUGCGUAGAUAUCGUCAAGAACACCGAUAGCGAAGGCAGCCAACUAGGGGUUAACUGACGCUGAGGCACGAAAGUGCGGGGAUCAAACAGG
rnacentral:rRNA from 1 species